GCAUUGGAACCACCUGAUCCCAUCCCGAACUCAGCAGUGAAACGAUGCA
rnacentral:rRNA from 1 species